CCGUUAUACCCACAACGAGUAAACUUUCAUUUACAGGGCAGUCUAGGAGAUGCGGUCAAGCACCGUUCCCUGGCUUGCCAGAGGCCUGAAAAAUAGUCGUGUGGAGACUACACUAUUGUGAAACUGGUUAGUGGUGGUAUUCGGGGCACAGCACUGUGUCCCUACGUCUUUUGGGAGCUACAAUGCAAUGCCAAAAGGUAACAUGGUGAUAACUGCUGCUUCGCAAGGCACGUCAUCGUUUUUUGUCUCAGCGAAGUUCCGCGUCGCCUCUUCACCUCAUCGUAGUACAGUGUGGCUCUUCCUUGAAAAAAUCAGGGAGUACUUCAGUGAAUAAGCAUUCCUCCGGCGUUUUGUCUUGAAUUGCGAGCACGGCUACUAGGCGAGGUGCUCUCUUUCGCGCUGGCCACGAAUUCGUAACUCUAACGGGCACAGCACAUGAACUGGCAGCGCGACCACUGUCCGCACCGCUCUGGUCUACGCAUGCUGAUACCACCUUAAGAGUUUGUACGGAGAUCGAUAUGAAUGGGAUUGUUCACCAACCGCGUGUAUGCACGAUGUUAGCCGUGUAUAUGGGUGGCAGUGCACAGGUGCAUCAGUGGGUGAGGAUAAUCUGUAACUGAAUUGGUGGGGAAACAGAUUCGCGAUUCCCAGGUAAACCUCUACAUAGGUACGUCGGCGCAGAUGUACAGCGUAGAGGAAUACGCUUCUGAAAAGUCGAACAAGUGAGCAUCUUGCUGGAACAUUCCUUUCAUGCUGAUAUCAUACCCCCUCACGGCUGUGACGACUUCCAGUCUGUUAUUCGGCAUAUCGUUAUUUUGAGAGUUGUGCAUGCUAGAUACAGCAC
rnacentral:lncRNA from 1 species